AUCAAUGCGAUCCUUUUGGAGG
rnacentral:miRNA from 1 species